GCCCGUACCGUAAACCGACACAGGUGGGUGGGAUGAGUAUUCUAAGGCGCGUGGAAGAACUCUCUUCAAGGAACUCUGCAAAAUAGCACCGUAUCUUCGGUAUAAGGUGUGCCUAACUUUGUGAAGGAUUUACUCCGUAAGCAUUGAAGGUUACAACAAAGAGUCCCUCCCGACUGUUUACCAAAAACACAGCACUCUGCUAACUCGUAAGAGGAUGUAUAGGGUGUGACGCCUGCCCGGUGCUCGAAGGUUAAUUGAUGACGUUAGCUCUGCGAAGCGUUUGAUCGAAGCCCGAGUAAACGGCGGCCGUAACUAUAACGGUCCUAAGGUAGCGAAAUUCCUUGUCGAUUAAAUAUCGACCUGCAUGAAUGGCGUAACGAGAUGGGAGCUGUCUCGAAGAGGGAUCCAGUGAAAUUGUAGUGGAGGUGAAAAUUCCUCCUACCCGCGGCAAGACGGAAAGACCCCGUGGACCUUUACUACAGCUUGACACUGCUAUUGGGAUAAAAAUGUGCAGGAUAGGUGGGAGGCUUUGAUCCAUAGACGCCAGUUUAUGGUGAGCCGUUGUUGAGAUACCACUCUUUUUUAUUCUGAUAGCUAACUAGCUUGAGUUAUCCUCAAGUAGGACAAUGUCUGGUGGGUAGUUUGACUGGGGCGGUCGCCUCCCAAAAUGUAACGGAGGCUUACAAAGGUUGGCUCAGAACGGUUGGAAAUCGUUCGCAGAGUAUAAAGGCAAAAGCCAGCUUAACUGCGAGACAUACACGUCAAGCAGGGACGAAAGUCGGUCUUAGUGAUCCGGUGGUUCUGUGUGGAAGGGCCAUCGCUCAAAGGAUAAAAGGUACCCCGGGGAUAACAGGCUGAUCUCCCCCAAGAGCUCACAUCGACGGGGAGGUUUGGCACCUCGAUGUCGGCUCAUCGCAUCCUGGGGCUGGAGCAGGUCCCAAGGGUAUGGCUGUUCGCCAUUUAAAGCGGUACGCGAGCUGGGUUCAGAACGUCGUGAGACAGUUCGGUCCCUAUCUGCCGUGGGCGUAAGAAGAUUGAGGAGAGUUGACCCUAGUACGAGAGGACCGGGUUGAACCGACCACUGGUGUACC
rnacentral:rRNA from 1 species